rnacentral:rRNA from 1 species
AUACGAAGGGACCUAGCGUAGUUCGGAAUUACUGGGCUUAAAGAGCUCGUAGGUGGUUAGAAAAGUUGGUUGUGAAAUCCCAAGGCUUAACCUUGGAACUGGCAACCAAAACUUUUUAACUAGAGUAUGAUAGAGGUAAGCGGAAUUACUAGUGUAGAGGUGAAAUUCGUAGAUAUCACACAGAAUACCAAUUGCGAAGGCAGAUCACUAACAAUAUACUGACGCUCAGGGGACGAAAGCGUGGGUAGCGAACAGGAUUAGAUACCCUGGUAGUCCUAGCUGUAAACGAUGGAUACUAGAUGUAGGAAUUGGUUUAACGAUUUCUGUAUCGUAGCUAAACGCGUUAAGUAUCCCGCCUGGGGAGUACGGUCGCAAGACUAAAACUCAAAGGAAUUGACGGGACCCCGCACAAGCGGCGGAGCAUGCGGCUUAAUUCAAGCAACGCGCAGAACCUUACCAGUCCUUGACAUGGGGAGUUUGGUUUCCAGAGAUGGAUUCCGUCAGUUCGGCUGGCUCCCACA